GGGACGCAGUGGGCCAGAGGGAAAAGGUCGCUCAAGCAGUGGGCAGGUGCAGAACACGACUUUAGAUUGGUUGAUGGGUGGGCGGAUUGCCUCCUUGCUUGGGCUCAGAGCUGGGGCUUCUCUGUGUUUUGCCCUUUGCUACCGGGCCGAAGGUGCUUGGAAAUUCCUGUGGGGAAAGGGCAUCAGUUUUAUAUAUCCCUCCAUAAAUGCUUGAGAAGAGGAAAGUAAUGGAGACAGUAAUGGAAGUUUUACAAUGUUUGAUCAACUUCUGAUGACUGCCAGCAUUCCUUGACUUGUGACUGCAUCACUUCAAUUUUCAAGGAAGAUUUCUUUCAAAUACCUGAUGAUUUUUACCUGGAAGUGAAGGAAAAUGAAGAUUGACUGGGAGCUCAGUGUGAGGGAACCAUACAUUGUGUUGGAGGACCCUGAAUACCAGGAUUAAGAAAGCAUCAUUAUGCCGCAGAGAGAAGAAGCUGCCCAAGAAUGGAAAGGAAGAAAUAUAUCACAUCAUCUGUCUGUCCACAGGCUUUCCUUGGGGCUUAUGAAGACUUCCUCGUGGCAGUAAUUCUUCUCCACCCCUUUGAAUUCAGAAAGAUGGCAUAGAAAUCUCAGAAACACCACUACCUCCUUCGUUAGACCACAAGGUAUGUCCUUUUGGAAAAGUCAACUUAACUUCAUUGAUCUGCAAGGACUGUUGAAAAUUUAAAAAUUUGCUAUGGGAUCCUGACAUGCCAGAAGCCACUAGAAAAAGAAUUUUGAUAUUCAGAACCUCAUCAAGAGGUUCCCCUCAUCUUUGGAUAGAGACCAAAAUGAUACUUUCAAUCAGCUGGUCCUCUCCUCAGGUGUAGAGCACCUAUUAUCAUUUCACCUGUUUUGAUUCUCUGAUGAGGAAAAUCCCAGGACUUAUCAGCUGGGAUAGGCCUCAUUUCCAAGACAGCUCUGUUCAGUGUUUGGAAGAAAGCCUGACAGGUUUCUCCGGAAAAGUGGCCAUCCAUGGAAUGAAUGAAAUGUUCCCUUUCUGUUCCAGGGAUUGCAGUGGCAAAGCUAGGCUAGGUCUUGGAGGCUGGUGCAAGGCGAAGCGGGUGAAGGCAGGAGGCUGAUGGAGAGACUGGGGGGAAGAAAAGCCGAAAUGGAUUCACGGUGCCUUGGAUGGAGGACGAGAGGGGAAUUGCAAGCUCCUUCAACUCGUUCUGUCCGGUGAGAAGUGAUCAAGCUUGGGCUGACAAGAGGCUCAGGAAGCCCUCACGUUCUUUCGCUUUUUUACCUGCCAAUCAAACUGCUACAAGACAACACCCUGAUCUGGCAUGGACAUCGCGGGUCCAAGCCUGUAGUCCCAAAUCGGAUAUCUCUGCAGCUGAUAACGAGCAAAAGAGAAGCCAGGCAACAGCCAUAUUAAAGAAGAAAACAAUCAACUCUGAGGAUGCCACCCUGAAAGUUUUAUUUUCUCCAGGAAAGUAGAGUUCUCUUUGAGAGUUCUAGCCUGUGAACUCAGUAUGUAAAUGUGGUCAUCAAGCAAGACGGAGCUGCCAAGAGGGAAGAUUUUGAACGUUUCUCUUUCCUAAAACCCUUCCCAGCAUUCCUUCUUCUGGGGGUGCUUUACUUGAAGUUUCCCUCUUUCCCCAACACUGUUGAAAAUAGCUCCCAAGCAACACUGCAGUAGC